UUGAACGCUGGCGGCAGGCCUAACACAUGCAAGUCGAACGGUAACAGGAAGCAGCUUGCUGCUUCGCUGACGAGUGGCGGACGGGUGAGUAAUGUCUGGGAAGCUGCCUGAUGGAGGGGGAUAACUACUGGAAACGGUAGCUAAUACCGCAUAAUGUCGCAAGACCAAAGAGGGGGACCUUCGGGCCUCUUGCCAUCGGAUGUGCCCAGAUGGGAUUAGCUUGUUGGUGGGGUAACGGCUCACCAAGGCGACGAUCCCUAGCUGUUCUGAGAGGAUGACCAGCCACACUGGGACUGAGACACGGUCCAGACUCCUACGGGAGGCAGCAGUGGGGAAUAUUGCACAAUGGGCGCAAGCCUGAUGCAGCCAUGCCGCGUGUAUGAAGAAGGCCUUCGGGUUGUAAAGUACUUUCAGCGGGGAGGAAGGGAGUAAAGUUAAUACCUUGGCUCAUUGACGUUACCCGCAGAAGAAGCACCGGCUAACUCCGUG
rnacentral:rRNA from 1 species